rnacentral:rRNA from 1 species
AGAGUUUGAUCAUGGCUCAGAACGAACGCUGGCGGCGUGGAUAAGACAUGCAAGUCGAGCGCUGAUUUCAGGGUAGCAAUAUUCUGAAGUUGGAGCGGCGCAAGGGUGCGUAACACGUGGGUAAUCUGCCAUGAAGUCUGGAAUAACUUGCUGAAAGGCGAGCUAAUACCGGAUGUGAACAUUGGACGGCAUCGUUUGAUGUUCAAAGCUGGGGACCGUAAGGCCUGGCGCUUCAUGAUGAGCCCGCGGCCUAUCAGCUAGUUGGUGAGGUAACGGCUCACCAAGGCUAAGACGGGUAGCUGGUCUGAGAGGACGACCAGCCACACUGGAACUGAGACACGGUCCAGACACCUACGGGUGGCAGCAGUCGAGAAUUUUUCACAAUGGGGGAAACCCUGAUGGAGCGACGCCGCGUGGGGGAUGAAUGGCUUCGGCCCGUAAACCCCUGUCAUUCGGGAUCAAUGCGUUUGGGUGAAUAUCCCAAACGUUGAUAGUACCGGAAGAGGAAGGGACGGCUAACUCUGUGCCAGCAGCCGCGGUA